rnacentral:hammerhead_ribozyme from 1 species
UUCCAACUGACAAGUCCCAGAAUAGGACGAAACACUUGUCAAACUGGAU